AUUUAAGAAACAAUUUAUUGUUUAUUAAUUUCGAAUUAAUAUUAAGGUAUUAGUUUACCCUUAUUUA
rnacentral:tRNA from 1 species